UGCGUAAUAUGAGGUAAAGAAUCACAAUUUAUGAUUCCAGUAUUGUCAGAUUUUAUUGCUGAUUUGAAAUGUUCUUUGAUCGUAAUCUUGACCAACUGUUUUUGAGAUUUUGGUCUUUCUCCUUUCUUUGGAGCUGCACUGUCAUGACUGGAAAUAGCCUCCCGAGAGCGUUCCAAACAUGGCCGACUGUGGACUGACUUGCUAGAAAGACUUUGAGACUCGACUGGAGCUCUGAACCCCAAUCAUAAGUCUGCUAUUACCUAUUUAUUAGUUAUCGGCCACCAAUAUAUUGUGGCACUUCAGAGGCCACAAGUGAUGGCUGACAUACUGGCUGUGGCCGGAUAGGACAUAGCAGACUUAUCCUUUUAAAGUUGCAAAAGAAAAACAGCAAAAAGCACCUUGGGAUGCGAUGCACAGGUGUAAUCGGGUUAUUUCACUGCUGUAUGUAUUCCUAGAUGGGUUUAUAGAUAUCAAGACCAUAUCCACAGAGGAAGCUUGAAGAUUCAUGGUGAGCAGCCCUGCUUUAACUGCAAAGCAACCCAAGGCUACUACAGCAACAUGUGCAGUUUUAUGUGCAAGGCACACUGUGUUCCUCUACUCCAACGGGAAGAGAAACUAAAUCAACGUAUAGAGGCGGGAACAAACAGACUCUAUAAUGGGCCAGAGACAACUGUGGCUAAUUUCUUUAAUUAUGGUGUAGCUUAAAUAGCCAGGGCUGGACUAAAUCAAAAUGGUUUCAAUUAAACUGUUACACAUCUUUACAAUGUGCACUGUACAUAGAGUUCAGCCUUUUUGAAGUGAACAUGAAACAGCAUUCGUAACCCAUUUUACUCCUGUAAUGUGAUGCAUUGGAUUGAAACAGGAUAUUCAAUGAGAAAAAAAAAACAGUCAAGGCUUAAUUUUAUCCAUAUGGAUCUGAUUGUAACCCUAACCCUAAGAGGAAGUGGACUUUACAUUUCAUAUGUUGCCCAGCAACAGUCACGGCUGAUCCUUUGUAAAUUAUGUUCUCAAUGCAGAAGAAAGCUUAAAAAUUAUUAAUUGAGCACCAAGAAUCCUUAACAACUUCCUCAAAUCUCCUUUAUCGUGCAUGCUAAAUUAAUCAUCAACCAGUCUGAAGAGCUCAAAGGAGCGCUCUCUUUUAUGGUGAGCUCAUUGAGAAAAAGCUCAAGAGAUGGUGCAUGGGAAACUCCUGGGGGAUAGUAUUUAAAUCUGUAUAUAUGUGUGUGUGUGUGUGUGUGUGUGUGUGUGUGUGUCCAAACCAGCAGCCUGGACUCAGUGUACCAAGGGCCUAAAAGUGCUCCCAGGCUGUGCGCCAGCCAAUCAAAAUGCUCUGCCAGCAGGCCCUCUAAUGCAUAUGCUAAUGAAGCCCUCACCCUGUGCAUCGUCAUUGGGAAUAAAAGAGGGGUUUGUCACAAAGUUUGCAGCACCCUGGUUCAUGGAACUACUGCUGGUAUAUGCCCAACCAAUAAGAAGGAGGAAUUAAUAAACCUAAUUAAAAAAGUUAAAUAUGCAAUCAAAGAUAAAGAUUUUGCAGGGUAAAGCCUCACAAGACUGAUUCAGAAGAUCGCAGCAAAGAAACAACAGUAGCGUUAACUGCUGAGUAACUCAAGAAGUAUGUAAGGAAGGAGAAAACAAAUAAACCUCAUUUAACUACAUUCAUUCCAAAUUUCAGUUCCCAAAAACUGGCCCACAAAAGCCAGAAGACAAACCAGUUGAGUUAUAAACAACGUGGACUUUGCAAAGCUGUACUUUUGAGGUUAGUAUAGGAGUAAAUGUAACAAACAGAGAGCCAUUUGUCAACAUUGACUGUUUUAAAGCCGUUAUGACACCUCAGAAAAAUGUGUGACUGUAAUUUGUCGAAAUAUAGUGAGUGCGCACACUGACACUCUUCCGACUUUAAGAAAACAAACCUUUGUAUAGCAUGCUCUUCUAUGGCUGUGUCUGAAACCGAAGGCAGCUGCCUUGCUGUCUCGCUGCCCAAUCAAUGACUUAAGGCACCAUUUUUGAAUGUAGCUACCUAGUAAGAAAACUGGUUUCUGCCGGCUUUCAAGGCACCAUAACGUCAUGUUUAAUAAUCUAGAACAAUUUUAAAGUGACCGUUCCCUGUGUCCAUUAUUUUCUGUUAAGCUGCUUUGAAUCAAUAUGUAUUGUAAAAAAUUAUUGCAAAAAAAGUAA